AAAAGCCGGGAAAUCAAUAAUGAUUACUUUUAUGAUAUACUUACUCCAUAUACUUAUUAAAGCUUACUACAGAUUUAUUCAUGUCAGAAAAAAAUAAUAAAAAAGUUGACACACAUUUUUUGGUAGGGGAAUCCAGGUCAUCCUUACCAAAAGGCAAGUUUGCUUCAGAGCAAGAAGUUUUGCAAUAUUUCUUGCAUUUGAAGGAAAAGUACCCAAAACAAAAAGAAAGUAGAAUUAUCCACUGUCCAUUGACAUAAAAUCAGCUGAAAUAAUGAAAAAUAUAUUUGCUGUACUCUUUCAAAGUUAAUUACACCUUGGAUGAAGGGUGGAUUUUAGAUUUUACAAUUACAAACAAUUAGGUAAGUACCAGACUUUAUAUGUUUUUCUUUUAUUUAUACUUUAUUGAUUAUUAGAGGAAAAUAUUAAUAUAACUAAUGUCUGCUGUUAAAUAAGUGAAUAAACAGAAAUAGGUGUGUUGUAAAAUAUACAUUUUUUAGUAUAAAGAUAGAGAAGCUGAUCCGAACCUGGAAACUGUUAAAAAAACAAACAAAGCAAGGCAAACUUUAUCAGAGAUUAAAAAAAAGGAGGAGUUUUUUAACUCAGAUGAAAAGGAUCUUUUGGAUUGCAUCUGAGCUCGAUACUUUGGUUGCAAUCAUUAAAGCUGAUUGGAAAUGAAAGGAUCAAGACAAGACUGAAGAUAUUGCAUUUUUAUUGGACCAAUUAGGAGAUAGAAAAACUAGAAUAGGUGGAAUCGAUACAAGGUACCUUAACUCUGUAAACAGGGGUUUAUCCAAAAUUAAAAAGAAAUCAAAUUUGCACGAAACUAUGUCAGAGAGUGAAUUCAGCUCAAAUGGAUCGGAGAAAGAUGAAGAUAAUGAUGAUUUUCCAUACCUAGAUCCAGAGUUAAAGAAAAAAGUCAAAAAAGCUAAUACUUUUAUGCUUCCAAAAGAUAUUCUCAAGAGAACUGCUGAUACUGCUGUUGGGGAAGGAAUAAGUCAUAGGAAGCAUGCUUCCAUAGUUAAUAGUAUAAUCGCUAAAUCGGGUGGAAAUGUAGCUGAUUUUAAAUGUUUAACCUCUACAGCAUUACACGCUGUAAAUAAGGUCAUUCAUGAUGAAUCUAAGAGGGUCAAGGAUGAUUUGAGAAGUUUUAGAAAAAUCAAUAAGAAUAUUUUAGUUCAACUCCAUUUUGAUGGAAAAGUAUGUCAUGAAUAUACUGAUGGGAAAAAAUUGGAACAAGAUCGAUUAGCAAUAUUAAUAAACGGUAACAAGGAAACGCACCUGUUGGGAAUUCUACCAAUUUCUUCUGGAACUGGCGAAAAUAAAAAAAAUGCAAUCAGAGAUAUCUUAAAUAGCUUUAACCUUACAGGCAAUAUACAAGCUGUUACAUUUGAUACCAGAAUCAACACUGGAAACAAAAAUGGGGCUGUGUCUUCACUGGUAAAUGAAGUCUUUCAACGACAAGUUCUAUCUAUUGCAUCCCGACAUCAUGUCAAUGAGCUGCACAUAACACAUUUCUGGAAAAAUAUCAAAGUAGCAUUACUUCUGGACCAGAUAAUCUGCUGUUUAAAACUUUAAAAUCAGCAUGCAAUGAUCUUGACGCAGACAACCAGGUUUUGAAAAAAUUGACUAUUCCAGAGGAACAUGGCUUGGUCAUGAAAAGCAUGAAAGCAUAAUGUUCUGCAGAAAUAUUAUCACCAGUGGGUCUCUAAAAAAGGAUGGGGCUACAAGGAAGGACUACAUUGAGCUGGCAGAGCUUACACUUAUGGUGCUUUCUGAGGACAGGUACAAAUUUUGUACUCCCGGAGCAGUUCACCAUGCCCGCUUUAUGGCAUAAAGUAAAGAAUUGUAGGUUCAUGAUAAGAAAAGGUUCAAAGUGUA
rnacentral:lncRNA from 1 species